rnacentral:rRNA from 1 species
GGUGAGUAAUACAUCGGAACGUGCCCGAGAGUGGGGAGUAACGCAGCGAAGACUGUGCUAAUACCGCAUACGAUCUACGGAUGAAAGCAGGGGAGUUCGCAAGGACCUUGCGCUCAUGGAGCGGCCGAUGGCAGAUUAGGUAGUUGGUGGGAUAAAAGCUUACCAAGCCGACGAUCUGUAGCUGGUCUGAGAGGACGACCAGCCACACUGGGACUGAGACACGGCCCAGACUCCUACGGGAGGCAGCAGUGGGGAAUUUUGGACAAUGGGCGAAAGCCUGAUCCAGCCAUGCCGCGUGCAGGAUGAAGGCCUUCGGUUGUAACUAGCUUUGUUACGGAACGAAAGAAUCUCUUCUAAUAAAGGGGUACCGAUGACGGUACCGUAAGAAUAAGCACCGGCUAACUACGUG